UUGAUCCCAAGGGAAUCGCUGGCUGGUCAAGGGCUAGAAGGAAGAGCUGACGUCCUCCAGCACCAUGGAAUCUGGCAAUGCACUGUGGACAGAAGCCCCCACCUCCACCUGCAGGUCCUUAACAAGCGCGUCAAACAAAUAUCCUCACAGUAGGAUCUCCUGAAUGUGAUGUCCCAUCUGUAUUCCUGAAGACAGAUGAAGGCGAUAAGAUCCUGCCCACAAAGUUUGCCUGUGAGAGCAGAGCGGUUUGGGUGCCCCGCGCAUUAACAAGGAUCCCGGGAUCAAGACCUGAACUGAAGUCAGAUGAUUAACCACGUGAGCCACCCCGGUGCCCUUGUCAAUGCUGGAUUUACAACUGGCUCAAAUUCUGAACCCAUGUUGAAUUAGUCGUGCCCCCCCCCCCACCCCGUAUUCAGUUUUCUCUCCUCCACUCCUCCUUUGCUUGGGUUUGUGUCUUCCUGGAUAUACUUGUGGGCUGGGGGAGUGUCUUUUGCCCUGCUCCUCGUUCUCGGUUUUUUCUUCCAGAGAGUCUCAAAUCCGCAUCAUCAGCCCUGGGGCUUCUGUCGCGGCGAUGGUCGUAUGGUUUCCAGUCUCCUGGCGUAAGUCCAGACAGCUCGGUUUUGUACCGACUACGGCCACCUAAAGCUUGCGAUGAACUCAGACAGGCCACCCUCAGAAAACAGCAGCAGCAGCAGCAGCAGCAGCAGAGGAGGAGGAUGGUGGUGUGACCGAGGUCCUACCAGGCUUCUGUGAGGCUUGCUUCUUGUCUGGCGUCUCAAGACCCCACAGCCUUGUCCCGGUGGGCGCAGCACCUCACAACCUCCAGACCCAUGGCCACUGGUCGGAGGACACCCCUUUGCAGCUCCUGAACGUCGUCCUCAAGGUCGGCGCGGAGGACGAAGAAGUGAGCAGCCCUUGGGAAGAUGCUUCUCUGCACGGAGCUCAGAAGAGCCCAGAACGGGGCUUCACUGACGGAGCUGCUAACUCUGUGGGGGGCCUGGAGACAGCGAGAGUGGAAAUGCGGCCGAACCAGGCAGAUGAGGUUUCAGCCUUGUUGGGGCUCAAGUCCUGCUAGAAGAGACCGACUUGAAGCCAGUAGGAAACAUCUUUAUCAUUGGCCUUGAUUCAUUCAUCACAUAGUGUCCAACGUGGAUUCGGUAUGCUGACAACCUGCCUGGCGCAUUACUCCGCUGGCCGCUCCGGUCCAGACGUCAGGCCGUCCCCCGAGGGAAGCCGACCCCACCGGCCCCGAAAGUUCAUGCUUGGGGUGCUGAGCGCCAGGCUGUCCCAGGAAUGGGCCCCUUGGUCCCUGGCCCUCUAUUCCGGCCAGCAGUUCUGGGGAGGCCAAGGCUGGAGCCCGACACUCUCCGUGGUUUCGUGAUCGUUUAAGAAAACAGAAGGGACAAACGUUUCACCGUCUUUAAAAACACAGGAGUCUGAGGAGAGAAGCCAAGGUCCGCCGCUUGGCAGCUCCGCGGGAGGACGAAGCAUCCGUGUCCCUUGCUGACCCACGCUGCGCCGCCUCCUCAUGCCCACGCGGAAGCACGUUUUCAGGCGGCAGUAUUGGCACAGGUGGUGCUGGUCGAUCUGGCAGCGGCGGUCGGAGCGGCCGGUGUAGCUGUGGUUGCUGUGGAUGCCUCCGCUGGAAGCAGCUCUCGCAGCCCUGGCAGGGGAAGACGCUGUAGUGCUUGCCGCUCGACAUGUCCCCACACACCACGCAGUCCACCUGCAGCUCCGGCUUCGCCAGGCUCGGAGUCGCUGGCGGCGCCCGCGGGGGAGGCCCAGGAAGCUGCUGGAGGCCUGCAAGGCCCCGCGGCCAGCACUUCCCGAGCUGCCGCCCCCUCUGUGGCCGCACCUUCCCUGCCUGGGCCUCAGGCGGGGCCCCAGCCUCGCUGGCCUUUGCCGGGCCUUUGCCGCCGCCGCCCACCCUGGGAGCCGGCCUCGAGCUGCAGCCGGUUUUCUCUGGGAAUAGUUUUUCUCCGUUCUCUGCUCUCCUCGGUCUCAGUUUCCAACGCCUUCCUGCGUCUGCAGCCCAAACGUUGUAGGGGAAGUUUGGGUUUGGAAUGGCAGGCUAAAUAGCUGUACCCAACCCAGUGCAAACCAGCAAAGCAUGAAGGACUUUGGGGUUUUUUUGUCUUUUUUUUUUUUUUUU